rnacentral:misc_RNA from 1 species
AAACGAUAGUUUAUUCCAUCCGAAGCUUUUGCAUAAUAUCUAUCUUUUUUUUCAAUUAAUAUUGUUGCGGAAAUCCUGUUUUUCUGUUUUAAUUAAUUUCUUCUCUUUUUUUUCUUUUUUUUUUUUUAUAUACAAAUAAAAGUUAAAGCAAUGAACAAUCUUGAACUAACGUAUAAAUGCGAAACAGAUACUACACGUCCAUUUUUAAAAAGUCUUCCCGUUGGGUUUGAACCAGUUGAAGUUGAUGAUUAUUAUAUUUCCUUAAAAGAACAAGUCCGAGCAAUGCAAGAUCAUUGCAAUGAAGAGUUUACUAAGAAAAUGCAAACUGAAGGAAAGAAUGAUGUCCCAGAGGAAAAACCCAUAAUUUUAUAAGCGAUUAAUUAAUAAGGACAGAUCGUGUCGAACUGCAUAACCAUUAAAAAAACAGAAAAAUAAAGCUAGACAUCACUUAUAAAUUGCCUUUUACUAUAAU